rnacentral:sRNA from 1 species
UCCCGUAUCACGUACGCAGCUGCGGCCUG